UAUUAUUUAAUAUGUAAUUGUUGGAUUGGAGUAGUAAUAGUUAAGUUCUAUAAACUCAAAGAAUUUGGCGGUAUUUUAGUCUUUUCAGAGGAAUCUGUCCUGUAAUCGAUAAUACACGAUUGGUUUGAUUUAAUUAAAUUGUUUGUAUACCGCCGUCAUAAGAAUAUUUUAAAGAGAGUUAAAAUUUUCUUGAGUUUAUAUUGAAAAGUAUGUCAGGUCAAGGUGCAGCUUAUGAUUAAAUGGGAGAUGGAUUACAAUAGGUGAACUUAAAUGGAUUUAAAUAUUAAAUGAUUUAUUGAAGGUGGAUUUGAUUGUAAAUUUUAUUUAAUUGUUGUUUUGAUUUUGGCUCUAAAAUGUGCACAUAUCGCCCGUCGCUCUCGUUAUGUAAUGAG
rnacentral:rRNA from 1 species